CCACCCCCGAGCUCACAGAUAACAAAAGAUUAUAAGCAGUAACAGAGUCCUAUAAAUUUUUAUUGAUUGAUAAUUGAUAAUUUAGGCUCCCUUGGCACCAUAGGGAAUACCUCUUAAAGAUCAGCAGGCUGUGUUGUUUGUAGGCAUGAGGACCUGGCUUUAAUUUUUUUUUUUCUCCUCCUAGUUUGCAUGUUUUCCUUCUCUCUAGUCUUCUAAACUGCUGGCACCAGCGGUAAUAAAUACUGAUAAAAUCAAAAUUGAUUUUUACCAGUGGACAGUUUAUGCCUAGAGAGACAGCUUAUACCUAUAUAACACAGAAGGGGGAAAAAAUGAAGAACCUCCAGUGAUCCGUGAAAACCUAAAUGCUUUCAAACGAAUCCCAGGAAAAGAAUUGCUAUUGGAAAGUAUCGCUAUUGGACUUGCAGGCUGUGUUGAGUCAGAUAUAACUGAAUGCAGUGAUAGCUCACAGCUAAAUAGCCUUUCAAAUUAAUUUGCAAACAGGCUGUGUGUGUGUAGCAUAUAUACCAUAUGUAAGUAGCUUAACAUUUUUCAAAUGGUGUCUGUUUUUUUUUGCACACAAAAAUAUAUUUGCAAACUCAGGAUCCACGCCAAUAUAGAAUGCCGUUUAUCAUUUUCAGUUCCUUUUCUAAAGAACUGGCUCAUUUACAAGUUUUUGUUUACAGUUUGUUUGUGAAAUUGUUGGUAAAAAAAUACUGAGAGAGGUGGAUGUGGACUUGAAAGUCACCUUGAACACUUGAGUAACAUCCGCAUUGGCAGGUGGAGAGGCCACUGCACCCCCUGUGGGUGAUGGCAGUUCACUGACAUGCGUCUCGCUGGGGCCUGGGGCGGGAGCAGCUUGUCUCAUGGCCCCUUCCUGUUGAGGCUGUGGGGCUGGAGCAGGAGGAGCCCUAAGUAAUUCAUUCACUCACCAGAGUUCCCUCUCUGGAGACCUUGCACAGUGAACCUUGGGUGGCAGUCGCUGGUGCUGAGAUGUGAGCAGGAAUGGGUUGUGUUCAGGAGGUCCGCCACACUGUUGGACUGAUGACUCCAGCUGGGCGAGCAGGUCCCACAAGACCAGAAAGGGCACUCGGGACCCCCUGUGCCCCAUGAGAAGUGGGGUCCCUCAGAGUUCCCAGCCUAGUUGGAUUUGGAGAAUAUUCUUGUUUUUUAAAAGCCUUCUUCAGAGCUUCUCUGAUGGUAACCUUGCAAAGAAAGUCGCUGCUGUGAGGAUGCCCUCGCCACCCCGCGCAGAGCAUUUCCUCUCUGCUGCUUCAUUGACUCAAUCCUCAUGAUAACUGGGAUACAUUGGGGAGCAAGGGUUCUGUUUUGCCCAAGAGGAAGUGAAGCCUCCAGGAGGUUAAAUGGAACAACUUCUUAGAACCUCUAGUUUGGAACAAAGUUAGUCUCUGGGAAGCCUCCUGCGAGGGCCUAAGUCUCUAAGACGCUGUUUCAGCUUCAAAAACCCCUCAGAGGGGCCGUAAGAAAGGCCUCGGUGAAUUAGCGGGGGCCCAUCUCAGCAACACGGGCCCUUCAGGCACCUUGUCUGUGUUUGCCUUCAUCCCUUCUGUAGUUGGUUUUACAUACAAAGCAGACGGAGUCACGACUCUCAUUCAGAUGCUUCUUUAUUUUUCUUUUGGAAACUAAACACACUUCAGACAGUGAAGAUACAUGCAUUUUCCAUUUUCUCAUUGCCUGAAGAUUGCUGUGUGACGCUCCUGGGGAAUGAAUUUGGGGGCUUGAGAAAGAAAAUGACUAGUCUGUCUCACAAGGUGAUGAUGAGGCUUUCCGUGGAGGCUUUACAUAACUUGUAAGUGAAACGUGAAGCAAAAACCAGCAUUAAAAACCAGCAUCACAGAAGGGGCCUGCUGGGGAUUACAGCCGCACAGCCGCUGGUCCCAGACCCCUCCGGGAAAUCACCGAAGGGGGGCCGCCACAGCAGACCCCACUAAAGCGCCUCAGCUGACAGGCAGGCCAGGGAGGCUGUGGAAGUGCACCCCCAGCAAGAUAAAUUCACUAACCCGCUUCCUCCUGCGUCUGAAUCUUCGUCAGCCGCAUACCUGGUGCACAUGAAACUCGGCCUCCAGGAACGUCAGGGUGCACAAGGUCCCCCACCCCCAAGUCGGCAGACCCGACCUCCCUCUGUUCACUGUAACCCCACCAUGAAAAGCAAAGAUUUCACUUUUAUUGUCAUUACAGAGGUAUUUUGGAAAACUUAGAAGACAUGAACACACAUAAACAGUUGUGUGUAAUAGUUAAAAGUGAAGCUGGUAGAGGUGGGUGAGCAGUUGUCUCAAUGACUAUAAUGAUUUUAGGUGUUCUUAAUGGAAAUAACUCAUUAGAAAACCCAAUCGGGAGGGAAGAAAGAAAGAACUAGCAACAGAAAUAAAGCUAUUAUCAUCUAACUUGCCAUAAAUACUUGCAAUUAUGAUACCUGGGAAUGUUGCCAUGAUAUGGAUUGCUUUGAUUAAAAGAUGUCAGUUGAAUAAAACAGUAUGGUGGGGUAAUAUGAAUAGUCUGCUGCUGCUGAAUAAAUACUGAUGUUUAUUUUUAAACCAGAAAACAUUGAUCCUGUGACAAUGCCCUGUUACAGUUACUCUGUCAAACUGCAGGGUGGAUGUGUGUUUAAUCCUCGGGCUCAGGGAUGCGGGGGCAGGACAGGUGCUGGCUUCCUGUCCUGCCCACCUCUGUGUCCUGAGCCAAGGGAGCUUGGCCCUGGCUUCCGCAGGUGCGGCUGUAGCCCCUGAGGGUUUUGUUUGACUGACGCCCAACAAGUCUGGCCAGAACAGAAAAGGUUACAUUAUCUGUUCAUUGCCCUUCAGCAACUGCCGACUAAGGGAGACAAAUCAGAUAUCUUCACACGAUUUCAUUAAGGCUUAGUGCUAACAAGAAUGCAUAGUUUUUGUGAUUUAAGAUAAUAAAUUAGCGUGUGUGUUUCCCACAUCGACUCGACAUUUUUCCACGUAAUACAGAAAGGUCUGGUUCUUUUUAUGAACUGGGUGCCUGCAUUGCCAUCUUUCCUUUGUAUUUUAGAAGUAAACUAAAUUCAUCUGUGAGCCUCUAGUGCAGCAUUCAUUUAAAAAUAUCUCUUUUUUUCCAUUGAUAAUUUUCUUUGGAUUCAAAGGUCAGAGUUUAUUGUCUGUCCCACUGACACCAUGUGCACAAGAACCGCCGCUUGCUCUUCACCAGCCCUCACUCAGCAAACAUCGGUCAGUUUACCUUCUCAGUGUCAGAGCCUGAGUGAGAUGCUGAGAAACUACUCAACAGGGAUGAUUGUCGUUUUGUGUUUUUCAUUCGUAAGCAGCCUCAGUGAACUGACUCACUCUUCUACGUAGAGAGAAACACGCAAAAUGCAUUUGGUUCUCAUUUCUCUUACUAGCGUUUCCUUAUAAAAACACAAUUUAUAAGCUCCUGCCAUUUGGAACUUCUUAUAAGAAACUCAAAAUGAUCUAUUUUUAUUUAAAUGUUCUCUUCACCUCCUCUCUCUUUGUGAAAAUAAGUAGUUUCAGUAACACAUGCUGUUCUUUCCAUAGCUUACAUCUCCCUGUCUUGAAAAAAAAGAUCUCUGCAGUUUGUGAUGAGGGUUUUUAUCCUGACUUCGAUAUAUGUUAACAUUUUGGGGAUUGAGUAUUCUAGACAUGUCUUAGAAUGCUUUCAUUUUCAUCGUUCUUAUGUAUUUUAAGUUGUAUGACCCGUUUUGACGUGGAAUGCAUUUAAAAAGUUGGUGUAGGAGAGGACUCUUUACCAUGGUAUGUGUUGGUUAUCUGAUAUGUAAUAAAUGCAUGGUUUCGUGGCUGAUUUUCCACCUCCCAAAGGGAAGGGGGUGGGUUUCCUUAGUGUCCAGAUCAAAGGAGCCAUUCAUAGCAUGUUCUCACAUGUUCCAUGUCAGCCUGAUGAAACCUGCCCUGCCGAGGCGUGAACUUUCCGUACUAGCCGUCUCCGUGUUAUGUUCAAUAAAUUCUGUGCUCUGAAUGUA
ensembl:lncRNA